rnacentral:tRNA from 1 species
UGGGGUAUCGCCAAGCGGUAAGGCAACUGGUUUUGGUCCAGUCAUUCAGAGGUUCGAAUCCUCUUACCCCAUCCACCAC